rnacentral:rRNA from 1 species
AUUGAACGCUGGCGGCAGGCUUAACACAUGCAAGUCGAGCGAGCGGCGGACGGGUGAGUAAUGUCUGGGAAACUGCCUGAUGGAGGGGGAUAACUACUGGAAACGGUAGCUAAUACCGCAUACCAUCAGAUGUGCCCAGAUGGGAUUAGCUAGUAGGUGGGGUAAUGGCUCACCUAGGCGACGCUCCCUAGCUGGUCUGAGAGGAUGACAAGCAACACUGGAACUGGGAACCGGUCCAGACACCUACGGGAGGGAGCAGUGGGGAAUUUUGCACAAUGGGCGCAAGCCUGAUGCAGCCAUGCCGCGUGUGUGAAGAAGGCCGUCGGGUUGUAAAGCACUUGCAGCGAGGAGUCGUUACUCGCAGAAGAAGCACCGGCUAACUCCGUGCCAGCAGCCGCGGUAAUAC